UACGGAGGGAGCUAGCGUUGUUCGGAAUUACUGGGCGUAAAGCGCACGUAGGCGGCUAUUCAAGUCAGAGGUGAAAGCCCGGGGCUCAACCCCGGAACUGCCUUUGAAACUAGAUGGCUGGAAUCUUGGAGAGGCGAGUGGAAUUCCGAGUGUAGAGGUGAAAUUCGUAGAUAUUCGGAAGAACACCAGUGGCGAAGGCGACUCGCUGGACAAGUAUUGACGCUGAGGUGCGAAAGCGUGGGGAGCAAACAGG
rnacentral:rRNA from 1 species